rnacentral:rRNA from 1 species
UACGGGGGGAGCAAGCGUUGUUCGGAUUUACUGGGCGUAAAGGGCGCGUAGGCGGUCAGCUCAGGUCAGUUGUGAAAUCUCCGGGCUUAACCCGGAAAGGUCAACUGAUACUGUGCGACUAGAGUGCGGAAGGGGCAACUGGAAUUCUUGGUGUAGCGGUGAAAUGCGCAGAUAUCAGGAGGAACACCGGUGGCGAAGGCGGGUCUCUGGGCCGAUAUUGACGCUGAGGAGCGAAAGCGUGGGGAGCGAACAGG